GGCUGGUCCGAUGGUAGUGGGUUAUCAGAACUUAUUAACAUUAGUGUCACUAAAGUUGGUAUACAACCCCCCACUGCUAGAUUUGACUGGCUUUUU
ensembl:misc_RNA Y_RNA Y RNA